rnacentral:rRNA from 1 species
UACGUAGGUGGCAAGCGUUGUCCGGAUUUACUGGGCGUAAAGGGCGUGCAGGCGGUCUGUUAAGUCUAGGGUGAAAGCUCCCGGCUCAACUGGGAGAGGUCCUUGGAUACUGGCGGACUUGAGGGAGGCAGAGGAAAGUGGAAUUCCCGGUGUAGUGGUGAUAUGCGUAGAUAUCAGGAGGAACACCGGUGGCGAAGGCGGAUCUCUGGGCCAUUACUGACGCUGAGGAGCGAAAGCGUGGGGAGCGAACAGG